CUACGGGGUGCUGCAGUGGGGAAUAUUGGACAAUGGGCGCAAGCCUGAUCCAGCAAUGCCGCGUGAGUGAAGACGGCCUUAGGGUUGUAAAACUCUUUCGCUGGGGAAGAUAAUGACUGUACCUAGUAAAGAAGUCCCGGCUAACUCCGUGCCAGCAGCCGCGGUAAUAUGGAGGGGACUAGCGUUGUUCGGAAUUACUGGGCGUAAAGAGUUCGUAGGCGGACUGACAAGUUAGAGGUGAAAUCCCAGGGCUCAACCCUGGAACUGCCUUUAAAACUGUCAGUCUAGAGACCGGAAGAGGUUAGGGGAAUACCUAGUGUAGAGGUGAAAUUCGUAGAUAUUAGGUGGAACACCAGUAGCGAAGGCGCCUAACUGGUCCGGUACUGACGCUGAGGAACGAAAGCGUGGGGAGCAAACAGGAUUAGAUACCCCCGUAGUC
rnacentral:rRNA from 1 species